AAAGUCAACCUAAACCAUCCACUGUAUCAUACAUCGACAACCUCACUUGAGAAACAGUUUAAAGUUUAUUUCUUUGUUUUGUUUCAUCUAACCAUUGUUGAACCUCCUAAUUGAACAUCAUGGACCGUGGAAAUCGUACUAAUCAAUGUAACCCCUCUCACACUCCAAGUGGCCCAGGCCAUAAUGCUGGUUACGCUGGGACUGGAACCAAGAGUGAUCUUGGUAAUCAUGCUAACCAGGGAAACCC